UACGUAGGGGGCAAGCGUUGUCCGGAAUCACUGGGCGUAAAGCGCGCGCAGGCGGCUGUCUACGUCCGGGGUGAAAGCCCAGAGCUCAACUCUGGGACUGCCUUGGAUACGGGAUGGCUUGAGGAUCGGAGAGGCAAGGGGAAUUCCACGUGUAGCGGUGAAAUGCGUAGAGAUGUGGAGGAACACCUGUGGCGAAGGCGACUACCUGGCCUGUUCUUGACGCUGAGGCGCGAAAGCUAGGGGAGCAAACGGG
rnacentral:rRNA from 1 species